UACGAAGGGGGCGAGCGUUGUUCGGAAUUACUGGGCGUAAAGGGCGCGCAGGCGGCUCUGAAAGUCAGAUGUGAAAGCCCCGGGCUUAACCUGGGAACUGCAUUUGAUACUCUGGAGCUUGAGUACGGGAGAGGAUAGUGGAAUUCCCAGUGUAGAGGUGAAAUUCGUAGAUAUUGGAAGAACACCGGUGGCGAAGGCGGCUAUCUGGAC
rnacentral:rRNA from 1 species